AUGCCCCUGAGAAUAAAAUACCUAUGCACAAAUGAGAGCCCAUCUUACCAUCUUAGCUUAGUGACAUCUAACAAAACUCCAAUGUAUGAGGCAUCACAUUUUUUAGCUACUCUACUAUCUGAGGGUUCACUGAUGAUUCAUGUCACCUCCUUCUAGGUUUUUUUUCUAUCUUGCUGGCUUCUCUCCUUCCCUCCUUUUCUCUGACCUUUACUCAUUUUCGUUUCUUUUAUCCAGAGGGAGAAAAAACAAACAAACACACAAGAAAUUCCUCCCUUCAUUUCCUGACAGCUUCCCCUUUCUCUGAUGGCUUGUUUACUGCUGAUAUCCAGGCUCUGCUCCAAGUGGGGAAGGAGUAACCAAUCAAGUUAUUUUCAAAUAAGACCGUUUUCUUCCUAACAGACAUUCUUGUGCUGGCUAUUAAAAUCUUAAAAAUUUAACAUCAUUGCACAUACAAUGACAAAUGACAAAUGUAACAAAUUUAUAUCUUCGUGUGCAGAGAAGAAUGUCGGGAAGAAUAUACACUAGAAUGUUUACAACUAGAGAGAAUGUGCCACCUUAGGCUACGGAGAAAAGGGAGAAAAUUAAUUUUGGGU